GCAAUAGCAAAAUGUGGUCGAAUUGGCCCUGACAGAACCCUUUGCAUAACCUCGUUAACAACAUCCUAUUCAAAAUUUUACAGUCUUAACCAACCUUAUUCCGUAGGUUUAUUAACGAACCCUAAUUGAGUAAAUUGUGAGAUAGAAAGAGACGUAUGGGGGUGAAGGGUUGAGAGAGAGCAUAGAAGAGAGUUUGGGAGGAUAGAGGAUACGAUUGCAGAGAGAGUUCCAAGCUUUGCUAACGUAGGUUGCGGAAGUGAAUGGUACAAUAGGAAGCAUCACUAGAAUGUUCUGAAGAAGAUGCUUUUGAGGUAUCACAUAUCAUGAAGCGCGUCCUCUUAAGGGAAACCCUACCCCGAGAACUUGCCAAAUCAAACACGACCAAAACCCUUGUUGUUGAAUGUUCUCGAUAAUACAAAGCCUGCUCAUUAUUACAACAAUAGAUAUGUCGUUAUUAAUGAAGAUGACGAGAGAACAUAGCAAUGAAGCACAAAGAGGAAAAUUUGGAAGAAUGAUGAACAAUGGAAAUGCAAGAGAAAAGAUAAAAAACGAAAGGGGAAAAGAAGUGAUAAUUGUUUUAUGGACCUUGAAUCAUAGAAGGCAGCAAUUGUGUCUAGGCUUUGAGAAUAUGAACAUUAGAAUGUGAAUGAAACUUUGUGAAAACCGUCCAUUUGAAGAUGAAAGUUGAAAUUGUUAGGAGGGAAAGGCGACAAGGAAAAUUUUCAAAUCGCU
rnacentral:lncRNA from 1 species